UUUCCCUAGAACGAGAGAACAAAUCUACAUCCUUCGAUAAACACGAGAAAAGAGAUAUCUCUGAGAAAAUAGCAAAUCCAAAGGGGAGAGGAUAUCGUGGAUGUUAAUUCUGAUUCUAUCCGAGAAGAUUUACACAAACAAAAACGGUGUUAUCGAUCGACAUCUCUUCCAUCUGCUUCCGUACUGUCUCAGAAUGUUGCGGUAAAUACUCGUAAGAUGAAAGAACCGUAAAACGCGUACCCACCAAUAAAAGUACGAAGUGCAAGUAUGUAAAAGUGACAUAUCGCUUGUUAAAUAGUUUCUAAGAAAUAUUUUACCGAGAAGUUCAAUUUUUGGAGGAAUAUAUUUGGAUCUUACGGCGCUUUAAGUGCCAUUUCAAUUUAAAACGAGACGUCUGAAGCGCUAUCGUAUAUUAUAUUUUCUAAUUAUACACAUACAAGAUGGUCGCGCAAACGUGAGUAUUAUAGAUUAUUCCUUCUUUAAUUAUGAUAGAAAUGUGAUAACGCUGAAAUAAUCCGAUAUACGAUAUAGAAAAAGUCGACGAUAUAUCGAUGUCAAUGUUAUCUUAGGUUUCGAGUUUCUAUCUCUAAAGAUGAUAAAUGCCAAAGAAUGCAACGAUUGCGAAAAGGGAGAUCUCUCUGUGUAUGGUCAGCGAUGCGUUAAGAUGCUUUGUGAAGGAAUGACAGUGGAAAGGGGAAGACAAAGAUAGUCAGAAGCAUUUUUCAAUUGAUUCCCGAUCGAAAGUUAUUUCAUUUUGAUCAUUCUCGCGCGCAGAUGAAUCGUACAAACGAUUUGCUUCUAACCACGUCCAAUAGUCCGAGGUGCGUAUUUUACUUAAUCGUUAAGGUUAAUAAUAUGAUUAUUUAGUGCUAAACAAUAAUUGAUAUUUAAUACUAGUGAGAUCAUCAGUCGGUAAGAGAAUUAAUGUCACCGGCAACUCGAAAGCGAAGCUUUUGCUUUGUUGCACUUGACAUGCCUAUAAAAAUAUUUUACGUUAAUAAAAUCUUUAUUAAGUCUUCCUUUGUGAGAUCACGUGAUUAAUCUCAAAUUCAAUCUUUAGAACGAAAGAAAAAAAAAGAAAAAUAAUAGAAAUAUAUUAAUGGAUUGAAUGAAUCACAAAUUUUCUCACGUUACGUUAAUCAUUACUGUCUUUAAUAAGGAAGUCGUACUCGAGAGACAAAGCUCUUGAUUCUUCUUCCCUCAUUGCUGGCGAUCCACAAAUUUCAUGUCUUCCAAUUUUUUGCAUUUCAAACUCAUUCCCUAACCUCGCCAUUUUUCUUUCGACUUUAUAAGUCUUAUCAUGAAAGAAAAAAAAAAAAAAAAAAAAAAAAAAGAUUCGUCGAAUCAUCCUCUUCCC